ensembl:snoRNA
CCCGAGACUAGAGUCACAUCCUGACACAUGCUGUUGUCUUGGUGUGCUAUAGUUUUCGAAGAGUGUCUACUAGUUUAUUCACUGGCUGAAGCUCCUUAUAGCUCAGUCGGACACAAGCUUAGUAACAUUA